rnacentral:rRNA from 1 species
UACGUAGGGUCCGAGCGUUGUCCGGAAUUAUUGGGCGUAAAGGGCUCGUAGGCGGUCCGUCACGUCGGGAGUGAAAACUCAGGGCUCAACCCUGAGCGUGCUUCCGAUACGGGCGGACUAGAGGUAUGCAGGGGAGAACGGAAUUCCUGGUGUAGCGGUGAAAUGCGCAGAUAUCAGGAAGAACACCUAUGGCGAAGGCAGCUCUCUGGGACGGUACUGACGCUGAGACGCGAAAGCGUGGGGAGCGAACAGG